rnacentral:rRNA from 1 species
GACGAACGCUGGCGGCGUGCUUAACACAUGCAAGUCGAACGGAAAGGCCCUGCUUUUGUGGGGUGCUCGAGUGGCGAACGGGUGAGUAACACGUGAGUAACCUGCCCUUGACUUUGGGAUAACUUCAUGAAACUUGGUCUAAUACCGGAUAGGAGCUCCUGCUGCAUGGUGGGGGUUGGAAAGUUUCGGCGGUUGGGGAUGGACUCGCGGCUUAUCAGCUUGUUGGUGGGGUAGUGGCUUACCAAGGCUUUGACGGGUAGCCGGCCUGAGAGGGUGACCGGACACAUUGGGACUGAGAUACGGCACAGACUAGUACGGGAGGCAGCAGUGGGGAAUAUUGCACAAUGGGCGGAAGCCAGAUGCAGCAAAGCAGCGUGCGGGAUGACGGCCUUCGGGUUGUAAACCGAUUUCGCCUGUGACGAAGCGUGAGUGACGGUAAUGGGUAAAGAAGCACCGGCUAACUACGUG